GCCAGCUCAGUUGGUAGAGCAUGUGAAUCUUGAUCUUGUGGUUGUGAGUUCAAGCCCCACAUUUGGCA
rnacentral:tRNA from 1 species